GAGGCGAUUGGACGUGACAUAGAGAAUGGUCAUGAAGGAAAAUUUAUUUCCCUUUUAUGGUUUCUCUGUUGGCUUCCUCUUUUCUUUUUUCAUUUUUCUAUUGCUUCCUCAUGUAUGAAUGGUGUGAGAUAUUUGGAUGAUGUUUUCAAACUGUAUCAAGACGGGGUGUGUGUUUUAUUUUUAUUUGUUUGGUUUGGCAACUAAUCCUGAAUACUUCAAUAUAAUAAGUUAUUUCUCUAAUGCUUAAGAUGUAAUUUUGUCAAUAUUUGGAUGUAAUAUCCUUUUUCAAAGUAGUACUAGUUAUUCAGAGUGUAGGCUCAGGAGGAGGUCCACAAUGCUUUACCGAGGAGUUUACAUGGGUGCAUGAUAAAGCUGCUAUACUAAUCUUCAUUACUUCAAUGUAAAAGGAUAUUUCUGUAAUGCUUGAGAACUAUUACUUUAUCUAUAUUUGGGUGUAAUAUGCUUAUUCAAACUGAAAAAUAGUUAUUCAAAAUGUAGGCUUGGGAGGAGGUCCACAAUGCUUCAUCGGGGAGUUUAUAUGGGUGCAUGAUCAAAGAUGUUCAUGAUGUUCAUGGCUACAAUCUAGCUUUCCCAACGCAAAACUCAGGACAUUGAUUGACAGAUUAGGAGCUUUAUUCAUAAAGAUGUUUGGAGCAUCUUCCAUCUGUAGUAGAGACUAUCAAAUAUUAAUCUGGAUCUCCCAACAACACCCCGGCCCACUUGCACUGAAUGCUUGCAGAAGGAUACUUCAACCAAACAGAUAAGAACUUAUACUUCCUAUUAUUUUAUCGUUGACUAGUUUCUAUAUAUGUCAACAAUCAAGGCUUCUCAUCAGGUACAGCCUGGUGUAUAACUACCCAGGCACAAAGAACAGGCUACUCUGAUAAUGUGAUGGACCAUCCAUGCACAUGUAAUGUGGGCUGUCAAUUUCUGCUGUCUACCUCUAGGCCAACUGAUUUGUUGUCACGCCUGUUUCGUGGACCAUCCAUGUACAUAAUUGGUGAGCUUUACUAGCUUCCCUGGACAUUUGAUGUAUAUUUUUUAACCCUCUAUUCGUAGGAUAUUGAUCGAGGAAUUAGGAGCUUCAAUCUGUAGGAAUUUUGGAGCAUCUUCCAUCCAAGAGAGGGCCUAUCAGACCAAUAUUUUGGAUCUUCCAACCGCAGCCCCAGCUGUAAAGACUGUUUUAUUCUAUAUGCUCUUUAUUUCACAGGAUAGACUGUGACAACACACCCAUGUGAAGCAUCUCAACAGAUAAGGAAGAUGGUGGCAUGGGAAACGAUUACCUUUCUGUGGUUAAUUUCUUUCCUCACUUCCUCUUGUAAUGAAGGGUGGCUCAAGAGAAAUACAGUCUGGUCAGGUGAUUGUAGGAAGAAUUAAGGAUAACCUUAUCCUCUCAGCUAUGAACUUACAAAGCUUUCGAAAGCCUUUAACUGACAUCUCUAUGCAGCACAUGGAGUGAGAUUUUGUGGUCCAAGCCAAUGUCUCUUGGAAAUGUUCCUAGAUGGUCUGAUCAAGAGGCUGGCCAGUAGCUUUUCAAAUUCAACAGUGAUUGGUGCAUGAGGAUUUGGAUGACAUUCGUAAUUGUUGCAUGAGUAUGUGUUUGUGUAUGCUUUCCAAACAAUCUUUUGAUAAGUUACAUUGUGUCAUUGUAGGAUAUGAUAUAUUCAUAAAUUUUCACAAGCGUUUUGUGCAAUGUUUGAUUGUAAUAGUGAAUGCAGAUUUUCACAAAAUAUUCUUACUGAGAAUUGAAAUAGAAGCAAAUUUUAUUUUUAUUUUUACAGAA